CAUGUGUCUACUCGAGUCUUC
rnacentral:siRNA from 1 species